GAUGUAUCUUUCGUGCAGAUGUAUCAAGAUGUACCUUUCACUUAAGAUCCAUGCAGGCGCAAGCUCUGGAUGAACUUCUGCGGUGACGUCGGCAUUCUUACAGGAGAACCCAAGAUUCGCUGUACCUGUAUGCAUUUCAAAACUGAAGAAUUGAUAGCAACUAGUAAAUAUUUGAAGUUGCAGCCAAAUGCUGUGCCUUCUCUGCUGCAAGAACUACAUGUCACCAUUGAAGCAAGGACCAGCUCGACUCCUGCAGUAGGACUCCAGCCUCGCCCAGUCGUCGCCGCUCGCCAAGACCUGCCGGACUCCUGCAAUAGGGGUCCAGGGCCCAGGCUGACCCGUUCGUCCAGUAACCGCCGCUCGUCAGCACCAGCUGGGCUCCUGUAGUAGGGGUCCAGCCUCGUCCAGUCGCCGCCGCUCGCCAAGACCAGCUGGGCUCCUGUAGAAUGGGGCUAGGAUGACCCGUUCAUCAACCGGUCCUGAAGUCACAUCGCUGUCAGCCAGCCGAACUCAGUACAUAAGUCACCAACCCUGAAUGUUGCCAGCCAAAGUCGGCAGUUUCCUUCGGACAGUCAUCUCACCAGUGUUGUACAGUGUACAAGGUUAGUGACGCAGUUAAAUGCGUCAAUUAAAUGCGAGGACGUGCGCUUGUAUGCAGCGUUUUGUCAUGUUGAGCU